AUUGAACGCUGGCGGCAUGCUUUACACAUGCAAGUCGAACGGCAGCACGGACUUCGGUCUGGUGGCGAGUGGCGAACGGGUGAGUAAUACAUCGGAACGUACCCAGUAAUGGGGGAUAACUAUCCGAAAGGAUAGCUAAUACCGCAUACGCCCUACGGGGGAAAGAGGGGGAUCGCAAGACCUCUUGUUAUUGGAGCGGCCGAUGGCUGAUUAGCUAGUUGGUAGGGUAAAGGCCUACCAAGGCAACGAUCAGUAGCGGGUCUUAGAGGACGAUCCGCCACACUGGAACUGAGACACGGUCCAGACUCCUACGGGAGGCAGCAGUGGGGAAUCUUGGACAAUGGGCGCAAGCCUGAUCCAGCAAUGCCGCGUGCGUGAAGAAGGCCUUCGGGUUGUAAAGGACUUUUGUCCGGGAGCAAAUACCCAGUGCUAAUAACGCUGGGGGCUGAGAGUACCGGAAGAAUAAGCACCGGCUAACUACGUGCCAGCCGCCGCAGUAAAAC
rnacentral:rRNA from 1 species